GUGCCAGCCGCCGCGGUAAUACGAAGGGGGCGAGCGUUGUUCGGAUUUACUGGGCGUAAAGGGCGCGUAGGCGGCGCCGCAAGUCGAGUGUGAAAGCCCCGGGCUCAACCUGGGAGGUGCGCUCGAGACUGUGGUGCUGGAGUUCGGGAGAGGAGCGUGGAAUUCCCAGUGUAGAGGUGAAAUUCGUAGAUAUUGGGAAGAACACCGGUGGCGAAGGCGGCGCUCUGGACCGAGACUGACGCUGAGGCGCGAAGGCGUGGGGAGCAAACAGGAUUAGAUACCCUUGUAGUCC
rnacentral:rRNA from 1 species